AUGGUUUCUCACCACCGUUCCAGUCCAUUGCGCCGUCGAUCAAGUCUUCUCCAUCCUUCCUUUCGGCGUGCACCGGGAGAAGUGACAGCAGACCUCCGGAACCCCGCCUCUCGUGAUCCUGUACGGGAGAGGGGCGAUCAGGUUUUUGGGGAGCGCACUCGCGCGACUGCUAGCAAUGACGACUUCUUCCCCGAUCUCGGCAACGUCAUCCUCGACGACAUGGGCGACAACGUCAAUGCCGGCGGUGCUGCUCCCGCUGCACCGUACGUGAUUCUAUCUUUCCUGUUCGAGAUCGUGGUAGAAUUCAUGUUUCUAGUAUGUGCCCUAGAUGUGAUCUGUUCAUCUGCUAUGCUAGUUCGCAUGAUUAGUUCAAUCUCUGCUACUGUAGUCAUGAUUUAUUUUCUGUUUAUUCGGAUUAAAUCUCGUAGUAAUUUGCUCAUAUUUUCAACAAUCCAAAAACCUGAUUUUAGGAAAUUUACUCCGAAUGGUUUUGCUGCGCAUCUGAAGCCGCCUGCCUUUAAGGGGGCGCAAUAUAAGAGGUGGCGCACGAGAGCAGUCUACUGGUUUCAGACCAUGGGCUACUAUGACGCCACUAAGGGCAAGCCUGAGGGCGAUCUUAAUCCAGCACAGCUGGAAGCUUUUGAGAAAAUCGAUACUCUCUGUAAAGGCGCUCUUCUGGGUGUUCUUGAUGAUUCUAUUGUGGAUUCAUAUAUGUCGUUUGACAACGGCAAGGAUAUGUGGGCUGCGCUCGAGGCCAAGUUUGGUGCCUCGGAUGCCGGUAGCGAGUUGUACGUCAUGGAGCAAUUCUAUGACUACAAGAUGACUGAUGAGCGCUCUGUUGUAUAG
rnacentral:rRNA from 1 species